UACGUAGGUGGCAAGCGUUUGUCCGGAAUUAUUGGGCGUAAAGCGCGCGCAGGCGGUCCCUUAAGUCUGAUGUGAAAGCCCACGGCUCAACCGUGGAGGGUCAUUGGAAACUGGGGGACUUGAGUACAGAAGAGGAAAGCGGAAUUCCACGUGUAGCGGUGAAAUGCGUAGAGAUGUGGAGGAACACCAGUGGCGAAGGCGGCUUUCUGGUCUGUAACUGACGCUGAGGCGCGAAAGCGUGGGGAGCGAACGGG
rnacentral:rRNA from 1 species